UGUCCAGUAGCUCAGCGGUAGAGCGUUUGGCUGUUAACCAAGUGGUCGUAGGUUCAAAUCCUACCUGGACAG
rnacentral:tRNA from 1 species